UUCACUGGCACACAAAAGUGAAAUGUGUCUUUUCUUCACUGUAUAUCAUCCCUACUCUACCCCCAACCUUAACCACAAGUAUUAGAUGUACAGUGUUACUUCCUGAAUCUUUUAUAGUUUAUUCUUAGUAAUGUUUUUAUGAUAG